AAACUAACCCUUAACGUAAGUUACUACGAGCAACCACGAACGCUUUCAGCUCAAAGUCACCAGUUAACACGGUUAGCAGACAGUAGAGUCACUGCGAUUUGCCACCCCAGCAAUGGCGGCGCCGCUAGAUCGCGGAACACACAAAGCGGUCACCGGGUAUAUAUACCCAUA